rnacentral:rRNA from 1 species
UAAGGAAUAUUGGGCAAUGGGCGAAAGCCUGACCCAGCAACGCCGCGUGGAGGAUGACGGAUUUCGGUUCGUAAACUCCUUUUGAGGGGGACGAGGAAGGACUGUACCCCUAGAAAAAGUCACGGCUAACUACGUGCCAGCAGCCGCGGUAAAACGUAGGUGGCAAGCGUUAUCCGGAUUUACUGGGCGUAAGGGUGCGCAGGCGGUUUUGCAAGUCAGAUGUGAAAGCCCCGGGCUUAACCUGGGAAUUGCGUUUGAAACUACAAGGCUAGAGUGCAGCAGAGGGGAGUGGAAUUCCAUGUGUAGCAGUGAAAUGCGUAGAGAUGUGGAAGAACACCGAUGGCGAAGGCAGCUCCCUGGGUUGACACUGACGCUCAUGCACGAAAGCGUGGGGAGCAAACA